UGAUGGAAAAUUGGUCAAUGGGCGCAAGCCUGAACCAGCCAUCCCGCGUGCAGGAUGACGGCCCUAUGGGUUGUAAACUGCUUUUAUUUGCCAAGAAUGGUUACUACGUGUAGUAAUUUGACGGUAGCAAAUGAAUAAGGACCGGCUAACUCCGUGCCAGCAGCCGCGGUAAUAAUC
rnacentral:rRNA from 1 species